CCCCGCGCGUCUCCCUCCUCCUCCCGUCCCUCGCUCGCUUGGCUCACUGUCGGCGCGCUAAGGUGACGACGGCGGCUGCCGGACUCGCAGCGUUCGGCCUACUCUCGCUCUGGCCCUGAGUGCAUGUUCGCAGUGCCCAGCCGGGCCGCAGGGGGGCGCUGGCAAACUGCUGUUUGCGACCGAGAAGCGUGGUGGGUGGAGUCACGUCACGCGGCCUGUGAGCGGGAGGAAGGGCAGCUGCGAUGGAGGGGCCUUCUGGGAAACGUCCUUCCUGCCCCGCCUUUCGCCCACGCUGCGGAUGGUGCGCCUGCGCAGUGCGUGGACUUUGGCCUCAGCGCUCUUUUGGCAGUUUUACAGGCUGCGUCGUGGAGGACAAUGAAAGAGGCUUUAAGGUGACUGGACAGGAAGGAUUUUGCUCAGGGAAGAGGCGAUACAGACACAGACAUGUGUGCACACAGAAGGAAGACCAUAAAAACAGAGACAAGACAGCCAUCUACAAGUUAAGUAGAGAGGGCUCUGAAGAAGCACUCCUGCCAACACCUUGAUCUUGGACUUUAAGCCUCCAGAACUGUGAGAGAAUAAAUUUCUGUUUGUUGAAGCCUCCCA
rnacentral:lncRNA from 1 species